UUGGGACUGAGACACGGCCCAAACUCCUACGGGAGGCAGCAGUGGGGAAUAUUGCGCAAUGGGGGAAACCCUGAUGCAGCGACGCCGCGUGCGGGACGGAGGCCUUCGGGUCGUAAACCGCUUUCAGCAGGGAAGAGUCAAGACUGUACCUGCAGAAGAAGCCCCGGCUAACUACGUGCCAGCAGCCGCGGUAAUACGUAGGGGGCGAGCGUUAUCCGGAUUCAUUGGGCGUAAAGCGCGCGUAGGCGGCCCGGCAGGCCGGGGGUCGAAGCGGGGGGCUCAACCCCCCGAAGCCCCCGGAACCUCCGCGGCUUGGGUCCGGUAGGGGAGGGUGGAACACCCGGUGUAGCGGUGGAAUGCGCAGAUAUCGGGUGGAACACCGGUGGCGAAGGCGGCCCUCUGGGCCGAGACCGACGCUGAGGCGCGAAAGCUGGGGGAGCGAACAGGAUUAGAUACCCUGGUAGUCCCAGCCGUAAACGAUGGACGCUAGGUGUGGGGGGACGAUCCCCCCGUGCCGCAGCCAACGCAUUAAGCGUCCCGCCUGGGGAGUACGGCCGCAAGGCUAAAACUCAAAGGAAUUGACGGGGGCCCGCACAAGCAGCGGAGCAUGUGGCUUAAUUCGAAGCAACGCGAAGAACCUUACCAGGGCUUGACAUAUGGGUGAAGCGGGGGAGACCCCGUGGCCGAGAGGAGCCCAUACAGGUGGUGCAUGGCUGUCGUCAGCUCGUGUCGUGAGAUGUUGGGUUAAGUCCCGCAACGAGCGCAACCCCCGCCGCGUGUUGCCAUCGGGUGAUGCCGGGAACCCACGCGGGACCGCCGCCGUCAAGGCGGAGGAGGGCGGGGACGACGUCAAGUCAUCAUGCCCCUUAUGCCCUGGGCUGCACACGUGCUACAAUGGCCGGUACAGAGGGAUGCCACCCCGCGAGGGGGAGCGGAUCCCGGAAAGCCGGCCCCAGUUCGGAUUGGGGGCUGCAACCCGCCCCCAUGAAGUCGGAGUUGCUAGUAAUCGCGGAUCAGCAUGCCGCGGUGAAUGCGUUCCCGGGCCUUGUACACACCGCCCGUCACACCACCCGAGUCGUCUGCACCCGAAGUCGCCGGCCCAACCGUCAAGGGGGGAGGCGCCGAAGGUGUGGAGGGUGAGGGGGGUGAAGUCGUAACAAGGUAGCCGUACCGGAAGGUGCGGCUG
rnacentral:rRNA from 1 species